UUCUUGCUUUGUCUUCAUGGAUGGGAUCC
rnacentral:piRNA from 1 species